UGUUCCCUGUUGUUCUGUAGGGUC
rnacentral:miRNA from 1 species